CUCUAAGUAGCAUUAUUAGGAGACAUCUAGCUAGCUAACUUUAGCUACAUGGACUCAUGUAAGGCAGUGUUACGGCUGUCGCCUUGCCUUCAGCAUUAACUGGCCUGUGAGUGUGUUGUGUGUGUAUAUAUGUGUAUGUUUGUUAUGUGUAUGUGUUUAGCUUAGGAUAUAUUGUGUUUUGUGUGUAUAUAUGUGUAUGUUUGUUAUGUGUUUAGCUUAGGAUAUAUUGUGUUUUGUGUGUAUAGACAGCUCAGAGCCUUUGAACAGCCUGCACGUUGUUUAUAUCACUCUAUGUUGAGGUUAAUAUUAAAAACAACCUCUUUACCAAGACCAUCUGGUUAUGUGUUGCUUGUGAUGUUGUUAAAUGUAUGUUACCAACUCGCAAGUUGUGAACUGGAGCUUCAAUUGUGUAGGUCAACCAUUCCCAGAGGUCUGGAGAAACACCAUUAAAAACGUGGAUUGUAGCUAAAGAAGAUGGAGAGGUUGUUACAGCACACUGUAACUGUAUGGCUGGUUCUGUUUGCAAUCGAAGCAGGUGUGAAGAUGAGAGAGACUGCAUCCUGCACCACUGAGAAGUGCAAGUGGCUAAUGCCAUCACAUGUCAAAAAGAUUCCUGCUGCUCCAGUUGCGAUGAUAGACUUUUCAUCCGCAAAAUCCAAAAAGCAAAAACUGGAUGAUGCCAUUGCUGGAAGGACAGGUGAGAAGCACACAUUUCAGCGUCCCACAGUCCAGGGUUCAAAGUUGGAGCGAGGAUCAGAGAGGUAUAUGCAGUUUU